UACGUAGGUGGCAAGCGUUGUUCGGAUUUACUGGGCGUAAAGGAUGCGUAGGCGGACAUUUAAGUCAGAUGUGAAAUACCCGAGCUUAACUUGGGUGCUGCAUUUGAAACUGGGUGUCUAGAGUGCAGGAGAGGUAAGUGGAAUUCCUAGUGUAGCGGUGAAAUGCGUAGAGAUUAGGAAGAACACCAGUGGCGAAGGCGACUUACUGGACUGUAACUGACGCUGAGGCAUGAAAGCGUGGGGAGCAAACAGG
rnacentral:rRNA from 1 species